ACUCUCACGAGAACAGCAUGUGGGAAACCAGGGAAACUGUCCCCAUGAUCCAGUGACCUCCCACCAGGUCCCUCCCUUGACACAACAGAGAUUACAAUUUGAGAUGAGAUUUGGAUGGAGACACAGAGCCAAACCAUAUUAAGCCUGUUCUGCUGGGACACAGAAUCACUUGCUCCAUCUCAUACAUUGAUGAUGAUUAAUUUGUAUGUGUACCUUCCAAAAAAGAUGGUUGUGUUUGAAUGGAGGCCUUCUGGACAGGAAAAUUGCAAAGUACAAUUAACAUUUGAGUCUGUCUGAGUCAUGAAGAAAUGGAGAUUACUGAAAAUAAUUCAUUUUGGUAUCUUCUUACAUCCUGAGAGACUAAUCUUUCCAAGUUCAUCUGAGGCUCCUCUUCUCCAUGACAACCUCAUCCAGGGAUUUCUUCCUGUCCUGGUGUUUUAUGACAUAAUCACAUCCUUCCUGAGAUAAUGAGCACACAAUUGCCUGGAUACCUGAAGGAAUGGAGACAGCGGCAGAAAACACUGCAGAGAGAUACAGUGAACCCACAUGUUGAAGCUUUCUAGUAUAAUAAAAAUUUCAACUGUUCUGUUGAAUCAUCUGCCUGAUUGGAGGCUACAGAAAAGAUGUCAUCUUAGGAGUGCUUGCUCUGAGUGAGGCUCAUCUUCAAAUCUGAAUGACCACAAGGAGAUUUGAUUAUACAUGUGAACACCUCAGAAGGCACAGCCCACCCAGAAGGCAGACAGGUCAGGCUGCUUUUUCUUCAUUGCUUGGAUUCAAUCCUCCGGGCGGCUCAGGCUCAAACAUAACUUAAGCAUGAUUAAACUUUAGAAGAAGCUGCCAGGAAGACUGUGAAAUCUUCAUGCCCAAGGAUCCCUAAAAUUAGGAGCAACAACCACUUGGCUCAGACGGUUUAUGGAGGCAAAGGUUUGGAUGGGAUUAGAGAUUUCUAAAUGUGAGUUCGUGUCCUCUGCCAGACCACCUUACUUCCACCAUUCCUCAGCAAAUCAAGAAAAACAGGAGAAAAGACAUGCCUUUCCAUAAGUUAAAUCUAUUCUGUUUUAAUUCUAUAUUAUAUCUGCUGUACAACUUCUUUUGUUUGUAACACCAUAUUGUUGCUAGUAACUGGAAAUUAAUUUUCACAUGCCUCAGCUUAGAAAAAUAAAAAGCAGCCCUGCAUCAA
rnacentral:lncRNA from 1 species